rnacentral:rRNA from 1 species
AACGAACGCUGGCGGCAUGCCUAACACAUGCAAGUCGAACGAGACCUUCGGGUCUAGUGGCGCACGGGUGCGUAACGCGUGGGAACCUGCCCUUAGGUUCGGAAUAACUCCCCGAAAGGGGUGCUAAUACCGGAUAAUGUCUUCGGACCAAGGAUUUAUCGCCUUUGGAUGGGCCCGCGUUGGAUUAGCUAGUUGGUAGGGUAAAAGCCUACCAAGGCGACGAUCCAUAGCUGGUCUGAGAGGAUGAUCAGCCACACUGGGACUGAGACACGGCCCAGACUCCUACGGGAGGCAGCAGUGGGGAAUAUUGGACAAUGGGCGAAAGCCUGAUCUAGCAAUGCCGCGUGAGUGAUGAAGGCCUUAGGGUUGUAAAGCUCUUUUACCCGGGAUGAUAAUGACAGUACCGGGAGAAUAAGCUCCGGCUAACUCCGUG